AACGAACGCUGGCGGCAGGCUUAACACAUGCAAGUCGAACGCGUGUAGCAAUACACGAGUGGCGCACGGGUGAGUAACGCGUGGAUAUCUGCCUUUUGGUUCGGAAUAACCCCGGGAAACUGGGGCUAAUACCGGAUGGUUUCUUUGGGAUAAAGAUUUAUCGCCAAAAGAUGAGUCCGCGUCCGAUUAGCUAGUUGGUGAGGUAAUGGCUCACCAAGGCGACGAUCGGUAGCUGGUCUGAGAGGACGAUCAGCCACACUGGGACUGAGACACGGCCCAGACUCCUACGGGAGGCAGCAGUGGGGAAUAUUGGACAAUGGGGGCGACCCUGAUCCAGCCAUGCCGCGUGAGUGAUGAAGGCCUUCGGGUUGUAAAGCUCUUUUGGCGGGGACGAUGAUGACGGUACCCGCAGAAUAAGCCCCGGCUAACUUCGUGCCAGCAGCCGCCGUAA
rnacentral:rRNA from 1 species